CGAUAAGUAAUGUGAAUUGCAGAAUUCAGUGAAUCAUCGAAUCUUUGAACGCACCUUGCGCUCCUUGGUAUUCCUUGGAGCAUGCCUGUUUGAGUGUCAU
rnacentral:rRNA from 1 species